AGUGAACGCUGGCGGCAUGCCUAACACAUGCAAGUCGAGCGGCAACGGGUCCUUCUUUAUGCUGGCUAUCGGCGGGCGGCUGAGGAAUGCGUCGGACUCUACCUUUCUGUGCGCGUUUACUUAGUUACCCUUACGCUAAUCCCCCAUCCGACCUUCUUCUGAAUCUGUCGGACCGCGAGUCCUCACGCCGUAUUCUUUCCCGACGUCGGAUUAUCUCGUUGGCGGGGCAAAGUCCCACCAAGGCGGCGAUCCGUAGCUGGUCUGAGAGGAUGAUCUGCCACAAUGGAACUGAGACACGGUCCAGACGCCUACGGGAGGCAGCAGUGGGGAAGAUUGGACAAUGGGCGCAAGAAUGAUGAAGCAAUGACGCGUGUGUGAAGAAGGCCUUCGGGUUGUAAAGAACUUUUGUCCGGAAAGAAAUACUGUCGGCUAAUACCCGGCGGGGAUGACGGUACCGGAAGAAUAAGCACCGGCUAACUACGUG
rnacentral:rRNA from 1 species